CAAUUGGAGAGUUUGAUCCUGGCUCAGAAUGAACGCUGGCGGCGUGCUUAACACAUGCAAGUCGUACGAGAAAUCCCGGGCUUGCUCGGGAGAGUAAAGUGGCGCACGGGUGAGUAACGCGUGGGUAAUCUACCCUCGGUUUCGGGAUAACAUUGCGAAAGCGGUGCUAAUACCGGAUAAUAUUCAGAUGUCUUAGGGCGUUUGGAUCAAAGGUGGCCUCUACAUGUAAGCUACUGUCUGAGGAGGAGCUCGCGUACCAUUAGCUUGUUGGUGGGGUAAUGGCCCACCAAGGCUCCGAUGGUUAGCUGGUCUGAGAGGAUGAUCAGCCACACUGGAACUGACACACGGUCCAGACUCCUACGGGAGGCAGCA
rnacentral:rRNA from 1 species